UAAGUAGAUCGGGUGACCGCUCGCCUCUGGCGGGAGGAAAGUCCGAGCUCCACCGGGCAGGAUGCUGGGUAACACCCAGGAGGGGCGACCCUACGGAAAGUGCCACAGAAACACACCGCCAGCGGCCAGUGCAUGCAACUGGUGCGGGCAAGGGUGAAAUGGUGAGGUAAGAGCUCACCAGCGGCUGGGUGACCAGCCGGCUGGGCAAACCCCAUCCGGAGCAAGGCCAAAUAGGAGGACGCUUGAGGUGCCCGGCCGAUGUCCUCGGGUUGGCCGCUUGACCUCAAUGGUAACAUUGAGGCCAGACUGAUGGUCACCGCCCCGAGCUGGGCAACUGGUUCGGGGUACAGAACUCGGCUUACAGAUCUACUUAGCCC
rnacentral:RNase_P_RNA from 1 species